CAACCACAUCACGUUGAAACAUCGGUUCCCAUACGAUCAUCGAAGUUGAGCAACGUCCAGCCAGGUCAGUAUUUAGAUGGAUGACCACUUGCGAAUACCAAGUGUUGUAA